CGACCGCCGGACGGGCCAAGUUGCCCCAAGGCCAAGGCCACACGGACAGCCGGGUCGAAUGCCGA
ncrna:unclassified sequences Streptococcus sRNA SpF59 (ldcC RNA)